rnacentral:rRNA from 1 species
CCUUGUGCCAGCAGCCGCGGUAAAACCAGCUCUUCAAGUGGUCGGGAUAAUUAUUGGGCUUAAAGUGUCCGUAGCCGGUUUAGUAAGUUCCUGGUAAAACCGGGCAGCUUAACUGUCCGUAUGCUAGGAAUACUGCUAUGCUAGAGGGCGGGAGAGGUCUGAGGUACUACAGGGGUAGGGGUGAAAUCUUAUAAUCCUUGUAGGACCACCAGUGGCGAAAGCGUCAGACUGGAACGCGCCUGACGGUGAGGGACGAAAGCCAGGGGAGCGAACCGGAUUAGAUACCCGGGUAGUCCUGGCCGUAAACGAUGCAUACUAGGCAAUGGUGCGGCUAUGAGCCGCAUCAGUACCGUAGGGAAACCGUUAAGUGUGCCGCCUGGGAAGUACGGUCGCAAGGCUAAAACUUAAAGGAAUUGGCGGGGGAGCACCACAAGGGGUGAAGCCUGCGGUUCAAUUGGACUCAACGCCGGGAAACUUACCAGGGGAGACAGCAGAAUGACAGUCAGGUUGACGACCUUACUCGACGAGCUGAGAGGAGGUGCAUGGCCGUCGCCAGUUCGUGCUGUGAGGUAUCCUGUUAAGUCAGGCAACGAACGAGAUCCGCGCCUUUAUUUGCCAUCAAGAAGUCACGACUUCGUUGGGAACACUAAAGGGACCGCCGUCGAUAAGACGGAGGAAGGAGCGGGCAAAGGCAGGUCUGU